rnacentral:sRNA from 1 species
AUCACUCCCUCAUCCCUCCUGUUGCAGGACAUGGCCAGGGCUAGGAAGAAUGACGCUGUGCUUUUAUUGCCCCUCUUGGCAGAAAAGGACCUUGGCUCCUUCAGUGUUUGCCAACCCAGGGAGUCAGACCCCAGCCUCCAAUUCUUCCUCCUUUUAGCUCCCCAGCUCUGAUCCCCGGGCUCAGCAGAGUCCUACACCAGCCGUCCAUCAGACUCUGAUGUAUCUCUGGAGGAGGACCGGGAAGCCUUAAGGAAGGAAGCAGAGCGCCAGGCAUUAGCGCAGCUCGAGAAGGCCAAGACCAAGCCAGUGGCAUUUGCCGUGCGGACAAAUGUCGGCUACAAUCCGUCUCCAGGGGAUGAGGUGCCUGUGCAGGGAGUGGCCAUCACCUUCGAGCCCAAAGACUUCCUGCACAUCAAGGAGAAAUACAAUAAUGACUGGUGGAUCGGACGGCUGGUGAAGGAGGGCUGUGAGGUUGGCUUCAUUCCCAGCCCCGUCAAACUGGACAGCCUUCGCCUGCUGCAGGAACAGAAGCUGCGCCAGAACCGCCUCAGCUCCAGCAAAUCAGGCGAUAACUCCAGUUCCAGUCUG